rnacentral:rRNA from 1 species
GACGAACGCUGGCGGCGUGCUUAACACAUGCAAGUCGAACGGUGAUCCAUCAGCUUGCUGGUGGUGAUCAGUGGCGAACGGGUGAGUAACACGUGAGUAACCUGCCCCUGACUCUGGAAUAACCCCGGGAAACCGGGGCUAAUACCGGAUAUGACAUCAUCCCGCAUGGGUGUGGUGUGGAAAGUUUUUUCGGUUGGGGAUGGGCUCGCGGCCUAUCAGCUUGUUGGUGAGGUAGUGGCUCACCAAGGCGACGACGGGUAGCCGGCCUGAGAGGGCGACCGGCCACACUGGGACUGAGACACGGCCCAGACUCCUACGGGAGGCAGCAGUGGGGAAUAUUGCACAAUGGGCGGAAGCCUGAUGCAGCGACGCCGCGUGAGGGAUGACGGCCUUCGGGUUGUAAACCUCUUUUAGCAGGGAAGAAGCGAAAGUGACGGUACCUGCAGAAAAAGCACCGGCUAACUACGUGCCAGCCGCCGCCGUAAAAC